GCGGAGGAAAAGAAACUAACCAGGAUUGUCUCAGUAAGGGCGACUGAAGCGACAAUAGCUCACCAUGUGAAUCUGCGUAAAAGCCGAAUUGUGGUCUCACUUGUGUUAUUGGCCGGGCCAAGUCCGUUGGAAUACGGCAGCUGAGAGGGUGAGACUCCCGUAAGCCUGGCCUGUAGAGCAAGUGUAUACGAGUCGAGUUGUUUGGGAUUGCAGCUCUAAGUGGGUGGUAAAUUCCAUCGAAAGCUAAAUACUGGUGGGAGACCGAUAGCGUACAAGUACCGUGAGGGAAAGAUGCAAAGAAGCGCGAAAGCGCUGUUAAAGAGUACCUGAAAUUGCUGAAACGGAAGCGAAGGAAACCAGUGCCAGCUGCGUCAUACUUCCCCAUCUGCUUGCGGGUGGGGCGCUGUGGCCAGCGUUGUCAGGCUUGGUUGGGGGGCGCGGAAGAGUGCGGGGGGAGAUGACCCUCGUUUC
rnacentral:rRNA from 1 species